rnacentral:rRNA from 1 species
GGACGAACGCUGGCGGCGUGCCUAACACAUGCAAGUCGAACGGAGCUGAAGAGCUUGCUUUCGGCUUAGUGGCGGACGGGUGAGUAACGCGUGAGUAACCUGCCUCUGAGAGUGGAAUAACGUUUUGAAAAGAACGCUAAUACCGCAUAACGUAUCAGCAUCGCAUGGUGGUGAUACCAAAGAUUUAUCGCUCGGAGAUGGACUCGCGUCCGAUUAGUUAGUUGGUGAGGUAACGGCUCACCAAGACCGCGAUCGGUAGCCGGACUGAGAGGUUGAUCGGCCACAUUGGGACUGAGACACGGCCCAGACUCCUACGGGAGGCAGCAGUGGGGGAUAUUGCGCAAUGGGGGCAACCCUGACGCAGCAACGCCGCGUGAAGGAUGAAGGUUUUCGGAUUGUAAACUUCUUUUAUCAGGGACGAAAAACGACGGUACCUGAUGAAUAAGCUCCGGCUAACUACGUGCCAGCCGCAGC